rnacentral:rRNA from 1 species
GACUAAGGUUUCCAGAGGAAGGCUCGUCCGCUCUGGGUUAGUCGGGUCCUAAGCUGAGGCCGACAGGCGUAGGCGAUGGAUAACAGGUUGAUAUUCCUGUACCACCUAUAAUCGUUUUAAUCGAUGGGGGGACGCAGUAGGAUAGGCGAAGCGUGCGAUUGGAUUGCACGUCUAAGCAGUAAGGCUGAGUAUUAGGCAAAUCCGGUACUCG